rnacentral:rRNA from 1 species
GGUAGACGUUGAACCAAGAGAGGACGGAGAAGGUUAGGCGAGCCGGGUGUUGGAUGUCCCGGUCCAAAGCCGUAGGCGUGUCCCGUACGAUUAAAAGGCGGGGCUUUAACGCCGAGAGCUGAUGGCGAGCGCGUUAGCGCGAAGUCGUUGAUACCACGCUUCCAAGAAAAGUCUCGUGGGGAGUCUGCAGGGUGUCCGUACCGCAAACCGACACAGGUGGGUGAGGAGAAAAUCCUAAGGCGAUUGAGAGAACUCUCUCCAAGGAACUCGGCAAAUUACCACCGUAACUUCGGAAGAAGGUGGGCCCUCCGUAGGUGUAGUCGUACAGACGAAGCCGAUGAGGGUUGCAGAGAAAUGGCGGUAGCGACUGUUUACCAAAAACACAGGACUCUGCGAAGACGACAAGUCGACGUAUAGGGUCUGACUCCUGCCCGGUGCUGGAAGGUUAAGGGGAUUCGUCAGCCGCAAGGCGAAGCGAUGAUCCGAAGCCCCAGUAAACGGCGGCCGUAACAAUAACGGUCCUAAGGUAGCGAAAUUCCUUGUCGGGUAAGUUCCGACCUGCACGAAUGGAGUAACGACUUCCGCGCUGUCUCGGAGAGGGACUCAGCGAAAUUGAAAUAGCUGUGCCGAUGCAGUUUACCCGCAGCAAGACGGAAAGACCCCGUGAACCUUUACUACAACUUGACAGUGACACUAGGGAUUGACUGUGUAGGAUAGGUGGGAGCCUUUGAAACCGGGCCGCUAGGUUCGGUGGAGGCAACGGUGAAAUACCACCCUGUUGAUUUCUGGUGUCUAACCGUGUCCCAUAAUCUGGGAUCGGGACACUGUCUGGUGGGUAGUUUGACUGGGGCGGUCGCCUCCCAAAGCGUAACGGAGGCGCGCGAUGGUUCCCUCAGCCCGAUUGGAAACCGGGCGGCGAGUGCAAUGGCAUAAGGGAGCUUAACUGCGAGACAGACAUGUCGAGCAGGUGCGAAAGCAGGUCAUAGUGAUCCGGUGGUUCUGAAUGGAAGGGCCAUCGCUCAACGGAUAAAAGGUACUCCGGGGAUAACAGGCUUAUCUCCUCCAAGAGUUCACAUCGACGAGGAGGUUUGGCACCUCGAUGUCGGCUCACCGCAUCCUGGGGCUGGAGCAGGUCCCAAGGGUUUGUCUGUUCGCCAAUUAAAGCGGUACGCGAGCUGGGUUCAGAACGUCGUGAGACAGUUUGGUCCCUAUCUGCUGUGGGCGUAGGAUACUUGAGAGGAUCCGAA